UACGUAGGGGGCAAGCGUUGUCCGGAUUUACUGGGCGUAAAGAGCGUGUAGGCGGCCACGCAGGUCCGUUGUGAAAACUGAAGGCUCAACCUCCAGACGUCGACGGAAACCGUAUGGCUAGAGUCCGGAAGAGGAGAGUGGAAUUCCUGGUGUAGCGGUGAAAUGCGCAGAUAUCAGGAAGAACACCAAUGGCGAAGGCAGCUCUCUGG
rnacentral:rRNA from 1 species